rnacentral:rRNA from 1 species
GAUGAACGCUGGCGGCGUGCCUAAUACAUGCAAGUCGAGCGAACGGACGAGAAGCUUGCUUCUCUGAUGUUAGCGGCGGACGGGUGAGUAACACGUGGAUAACCUACCUAUAAGACUGGGAUAACUUCGGGAAACCGGAGCUAAUACCGGAUAAUAUUUUGAACCGCAUGGUUCAAAAGUGAAAGACGGUCUUGCUGUCACUUAUAGAUGGAUCCGCGCUGCAUUAGCUAGUUGGUAAGGUAACGGCUUACCAAGGCAACGAUGCAUAGCCGACCUGAGAGGGUGAUCGGCCACACUGGAACUGAGGCACGGUCCAGACUCCUACGGGAGGCAGCAGUAGGGAAUCUUCCGCAAUGGGCGAAAGCCUGACGGAGCAACGCCGCGUGAGUGAUGAAGGUCUUCGGAUCGUAAAACUCUGUUAUUAGGGAAGAACAUAUGUGUAAGUAACUGUGCACAUCUUGACGGUACCUAAGCAGAAAGCCACGGCUAACUACGU